CGUAUUUCAAGAUGGCGGACCUAAAAAUCGGGCACCCCCCCAUAAAUUGUUUGUAUUUAGGGUAUGGAAGAAAUGUGCAAAAGCUGCAGCUUUAAUCCAUCAGGUCACGAUCAUUUUGCUAAGCCACCACACUAUAUGAGAUGGAUGCACCCUCCUUCAGAAGGCGCUGAAAGGAAUACUAAUUAUAGGCCGCUGUAGGCCUACUCCGUAAAAGAACUUAAGGAAGAGCACCUAGUGAGAUAAGUGUAUGUCUGCCAUAUCAUCCGUUAAACAGCCAGGUUUUUGAAGGAAGAAAGAUGUAGCCCCAGCUCUGGAUAAAAAUAUUAUGGUGAAGGUUGGCCGCUGUACAGGGCAGCUAUAGUUAUUAUUAUAUGUUGCCUUUUAUUGUUAUGUACUGUUUUUUAUACUUUACCAAUAAACCUUAUAUUUAAU